rnacentral:rRNA from 1 species
UACGUAGGGACCAAGCGUUGUCCGGAAUCAUUGGGCGUAAAGAGCGUGUAGGCGGCUUGUUAAGUCUUGCGUGAAAUCUCGGGGCUCAACCCCGAGCGGUCGUGAGAAACUGGCAGGCUAGAGUGCGGGAGAGGAGAGUGGAAUUCCCGGUGUAGCGGUGAAAUGCGCAGAUAUCGGGAGGAACACCAAUGGCGAAGGCAGCUCGCUGGGACGGUACUGACGCUGAGGCGCGAAAGCGUGGGGAGCAAACAGG